AGUCGAACGAAGGCUUCGGCCUUAGUGGCGCACGGGUGCGUAACGCGUGGGAAUCUGCCCUUGGGUUCGGAAUAACAGCGAGAAAUUGCUGCUAAUACCGGAUGAUGUCGCGAGACCAAAGAUUUAUCGCCUGAGGAUGAGCCCGCGUUGGAUUAGGUAGUUGGUGGGGUAAAGGCCUACCAAGCCGACGAUCCAUAGCUGGUCUGAGAGGAUGAUCAGCCACACUGGGACUGAGACACGGCCCAGACUCCUACGGGAGGCAGCAGUGGGGAAUAUUGGACAAUGGGCGAAAGCCUGAUCCAGCAAUGCCGCGUGAGUGAUGAAGGCCUUAGGGUUGUAAAGCUCUUUUACCCGGGAUGAUAAUGACAGUACCGGGAGAAUAAGCUCCGGCUAACUCCGUGCCAGCAGCCGCGGUAAUACGGAGGGAGCUAGCGUUGUUCGGAAUUACUGGGCGUAAAGCGCACGUAGGCGGCUUUGUAAGUCAGGGGUGAAAGCCUGGAGCUCAACUCCAGAACUGCCUUUGAGACUGCAUCGCUUGAAUCCGGGAGAGGUGAGUGGAAUUCCGAGUGUAGAGGUGAAAUUCGUAGAUAUUCGGAAGAACACCAGUGGCGAAGGCGGCUCACUGGACCGGUAU
rnacentral:rRNA from 1 species